UAACAAUGCACAACUUUAUGUAGGCACGUAUGGGUGAGUCAUACUCACUUAUCAAGAAUACAAUUUGAUGGAGAUACCGGGAGUUGAGUAACGGCUUGAUAGACGGUGACAAUUUUUAUGAGGAAAUUUUCCAUGCCAGUGAGUAUGGUAAAGCAGGAUGGCCUUCCUCGACAAUACUCUUGUACAAAAUUCGAAUUAAAAGAGAAACGACUAAAGCACAGAAGUUGCUGCAUCAGUCAGGGUGUUCGUCGCUGCAAUGCGAACGAUGGAUAAGAGUCGACAAUGAUUCUUGUCGUGGAUUUCAUGCGGAAACUAUUUUAAUACAACAAGUAAACGAUCUUUUGGACUGCUUACGUGAAUGAUAGAAGCCUAUUCUCUGUAAGGCAAAUUAGUAUAGAUAUUGUGCUGAGUUAUUCUCCAUGCUCAAAUCGUGCAAAAAGUCUUAUUAAACUGAAGGAAACUAUUGAAAACGUCGUUUUUUAUGACCUUAGUUUCAUAUUUUGUGAUAUGAAUGUAAAGUUUGCUAACUUCUACCAGCAUUAUAGGCACGAAAACAUAAAAAAUCUAAUAAAAAUGACGCAUUCCCAAAUACAACUUUCUGUGUUUAAUGGGCUGUGUGACUGGAAGGAUUUUCUGGAUAACACGGUAAAACUCUUACUUGAUGUUCAGUCCGAAUAUUUCUACGGUGCCUGGCGAGUACGACAGAAAAGAGAGCUAGUUGAUUCAAUAAUACUUGAUUGCAUAAAGCGAGCUGGAUUGAAAUGGUAUUUGCUUGCGCAGGAGCGGAGAGUAAUCAUAUUAGAAAUGAUCCGAAAUAUUAAAUCAGUUUGUACGGGUUUCGAAUGUUUAAAUCUAAUCCGGAAGUAGACUUGACAUUACUGUAGUAAGAUCAGGAUGAAUCAACGAUACCUAAACAUUUUGCUUAGUACGACACGUGUAGUUUAAACAGAUGCAUGCAUUAUCCUGAUAUGAAUCACUUAACCGCGACAUAUUUUGGGAUGCAUACGUUUUUCAAUAUAUUUCUCACUAAUUGUCUUUAUAAGAUUUCUUGGAUAUGUGGUUAAGCUGAUAUCUGACUAAAGUACUUGAUCUUCUAAACAAAGAUCUGAAGAUGACUAAUUCA
rnacentral:lncRNA from 1 species